UCUCAUUUAAUAAGCAUGACGGUUUCCUCAAGUAAGUGGAAACAGCUGAGGGUUGUAAAAUGUAAAGCUGAACAUCGCUGCUUCUCAUCCACUGAGGAGACCGUAAAUGUUUCAGAAAAUGUCAUUCGGACUCCAUUGGUUGAGAUCAAGAGAUCUCUCCCAGAUUUGCUGAAGGGAAACAGUGCUGUGCUGGAGUGUGACAUCACAGAACUCUCCUCCAGUGACCUCUAUAUCACCUUUCAGGCCGACGAUACUGACAUCUCUGAAAAAAUUGAUGUUGAUCUUCCUGAAACGCCAGGCCCCCAUUCAAUCAGUAGACGAUUCCUUGUCCCCCAAAACCACUGGAAUAAUGACACAAGUUUUUCCUGCAGAGUAAAUCAAGGCCUCAACAUGACUUUCAAGUCAAGAGCAACAGGCCAUAUUUUUGGGGACCCAUCAAUGGAGCUCCUUCUGCUCCCCAGUGAGGAGGAAGGACCACAGAGACUUGUAUGCUCUGGAUGGGGCUUCGACCCUCAAAUUAAAUGGUUUUCUGAGUCUCAGCAAAGAUCUUCUUCAACCGAUGAGAUCAGCAUGAAUGCAGAUGGUCGUGUGGCAGUAACCAGUCAACUUCAUAUCCCUCAAACAGAGUGGAAAACAGGACAGGUCUUCACUUGUGAAGUAUCUGACAAGUCUCUGAACAUAAAUGUCAGGUAAAAUUAAAACAUAAGGAGAGUAACAAUGUCAAGCCAUGUGCCUAAUGACAGUACUUUGUCCAUGUGACAAGUAUUACAGUGUAAACUGAGAGCUUCAUUAAUCAUUUUUUGUAAACUAAAGAGGGCAGAAGAAGCUCACAGACACACAGCCACCACCAUAUCACCUCCAGAUGAACAGAUUUGUUCAAUCUGUCCUGCACAAAAAAACAUAUAACUACUUACAUGUAAUGUUGGAAAUCAUACGUAUUCAAACACUUCAAAAGCAAGUUUUCCCACAAUUAGAGGGUGUAGAGAAAAUAUAUUUUAGAAUAACAUUGUCCACUGGUCCCCAACUGUGGUAGGUGUAGCAGAGAUAGUAUUUGAGCUCCCUCUAGUGGUACACAGAUGUAUCUCUAAACUUUUUCUUUUUUAGUGAAAUACAUUCAUUUAAAAACAUAAUACUAUCAAAAUAAUAAAAACCUUUGAA